UCUUUGGGGACAACAUCACCAAGUUUCCUUCUUAUUGCACUGCAAGUUAAAAAAAGUCAGUGACUAAUGACUCUUCUUAUCUCUUUGUUCAUCCAUGUGCUUAGCUGCAAAAAUUCUAAAAAGAUACCCCUAAUGAGGGGUGGCGGAUGUGCGUCCUCUAGGGCCUCGUCGGCCAGAGAAGGAGGGGAGGAGCGGUUGCCGACGAGCGAGGUGGCUCUGUUUGGACCGGCCAUGGUGUUGGCUGUUGACUCCCACCGGUCUUGUCUCCCCCAACCCUUCCAUGGAGCUCGCUUAGCCACCGGCCGGCACAUCUUCUUGCUUACAACACCAAGGUAGGCAAAAAUUCUUUUUUUCCCCAUGAUGUGGUUUCUUUUGCUUGGAUGGAUUACAACUGGUUGGGAGUAGCGGAUGUGUGAAGUUUUGCCCGUAAUCUAAAUUCUGCAUUUUAUCUAGCUAAGUUAAGCAAAAGCUUGUUUUUUUACAACGACUGAAGCAAAAUCAUUCCCUUGCAGGCCAUGUAGCUUACUUUUUAACUGUUAUUGCUGAUUGGAGCCAUUGCUAUUGGCUAUUUAUACAUAAGAUGGAAGGUGAAUUGAAAUUUUUGUGAGGGGGAUUGGAUUUUAUCCAGAUGGCUUGCUUCUCGUGAUGAGACUGAUACUAAUGAACUAAUGAAGACAUGAAGGUUGCAUCUUAUCCCCAUUUCCCUUUCUACAUUUGCCAUUUAGUCGAUUAACAUACAUUGUACUAUUUCCCUUUCUAUAGUUGCCAUUUAGUUGAUUAACAUACAUUGUACUAUUUUCGGUUAAGCACACUAUGGGUCAAUGAAUGUGGAAUUAGCUACUUUUUAUAUCCCUGGACCAUAUAUAUUACAUGCAUCAGUACUUGAUGCAUCUCUGAUAUGCUUUUGCUUUUUAUUGUUACCCUUAAUUACUACUUUUCUAUGAACCCAAUGUUUAGGUUGCAGGCUCAACUGCAUAUCUAUAUUCUCUGUAUGAAUUUUUUAGCUAGCUUUGAAGCGAAUGUGGUGAUCAAGGCUCUAAUAUGUAUUCUUUAUUUGCAUGAAUGUUGUGUGCAUAUAGGUACUUGCAAUGGAAUCUUUUUCUCAUAGACGAGAAGUACUUUGAAAACAGAUUUUAAAAAUUGAUAUAAUUUUACAAGUGUGCAGAUAGUUGACAAGGCAACAAUGCUAUUGUUCAAAUGUAGUCGAGCCGGGCCUUUGGUGUUUUCGGUGCUAUUGUUCAAAUUUUGCUUUCUUAGAUUCAUUGCAACCAAAAGAUUUGGUAAUAUUUUUUUUCUGGAAACAUGGAUACACUUGUUGGUGUUGUAUACUGGGAUCUGUAAGUAUUGUCAUAGGAAUUUUUUUAUCCUAAGGAUUCACACAGAUUGGAGGGGAAUUAGUAUCUAACAUCUUGUUAAAUGUACACAAACUGGUAUAUCUUCAUGGCUUUUAAGCUAUAUAAUUGUAGAUGAUAAUUUAUGCUUUGAUAAAGUAAUAUCUUACUUCUCGGUGCUUGGAUAAAAUAGUAUAGUUUGCUGAAAAUAUGUUCAUACUUUAUAUCACAGAAGUACAAACUGACAAUCAGCCUAUGGUGAAGUUAAAAGAAGCAAAAGUACUGUGUGUAUAAUCAUUAGAUUUGUUAAGGUGAAUCAGAUUUAUUUUUGCUGCUGUACGUAGAAUGCAGUUUAUCUUAAUUCCUGUUGCUGCGUUUGGCCCUACAUGUCGAUGGGUGUGGCCGCUCCCUUGUUAGUUUGUUGCUCGAUUUGGUUUGGUCCAAGGUAGGCUGUGUGUUGUCUACGUCUGUAUAUUCGUUGGCUGGAUAAGAAGAUUUUGCAGGUUUUUCUCUGGUAUGGUUGCUUCUGCUCUGAGUGCAGGUUCCUAUGAUUUCUAGACAGUGUAUUGGUUUUAAGGAUUGCUCGGUUAGUUUAAAAGUGCUUUGAUUUCCUUCUUGUCUUCUCGCACAGACCUUGAAGAUGGCUAGGUUUGCAUGGGCAUGGGGUUUGGUACACCUGGCCUCUAUUUAGAUUUGUUAAUAAAUUCAGUUUAUCACGAACACCAUAAAUGUGUUAUCAGUUUACUAUCUUGGCACAUGAGCUAUUUUUCAGUCAAUGCGUGCCGAGUCCACUUGGAACUGAAUAUGUAGUGUUUUCUUUGAAACUGAGUAACUGUGGUUGAAAUUUAGUUUCAUUUGGACGAGCUACCCAAGUAUCAUCAAUUCAUGAUGGCUAAUUUAUCUUGGUUCUUGAUGAAUCCGCCAUGGUCCUGAUUUAAGAGUUUUUAUGUUAUUUCUCAGCCUAUUUGAGCUAUUAUCGUUCUGUUUAACACACACAAUUGUAGCUGCCCUUUUUGAUUCAGAAAAAUGGUCUUCAUGUCUGUGGUUUGGUUAAACAUUUUCUCAGCAUAUCUCUAUUCAUCAGUCUUAACUCGCAUAACAUCCAAUAUAGUUUGUCUGAUCCAGACUAAAUGUUGGUUGUUGCUAUGUUUUGUGUGCAGUCUAUUUCUCUUCUAUCUUGGUCAUUAAAGAUGUGACAAGAAAGAAAUUUCAAAAGGUUUGAUAAUCUAGAAUGCUCAUAUGGAGUUAUUUGAACCAGUUCUUUUAGUAGCUGCUGAGACCAGAUGUAUCAGAAAAAUUUAAAAUAUACCAACAGUAGGGUUGACCAAUAAUGCUGAAUUGAUUCAGUCUUCAGGCCUUAUGCACAAUUUCCACAGUGUUAAGAUAAUAUAUGCUUUAAUGCUCCUGUGCACUGCUUUAAUGCUUCUGCUUGUUUGUCUGAAUCUUCUUGUUGUUCAUUAAUUUCUUGUCGCCUGCUGUUGCCCAUGAGGGGGAGUCGGACCCAUCAUGGAUAACCAUCCCUGAUGAGCUUUUAAUACAUACUGAUGGUGACAAAAUUGAUGCCAUUGUUCAGGUUGUAUACAAAGAUGUUCCUACUAGGUAUUCUGACGUUGAUUAUCUAAAAGAAAGAGCAAUUCUAACACCAACGAACCAAGUAGCUGAAAAUUAUAAACGAGCGCGUUCUAUCUUUAGUGCCUACCAGUGAGAGAGUACCUAAGCUGUGUCAAGUGUCUAUGCCUAUGUUUUAUAUGCAAAUACCUUUCCUCUUUUGCACAAACCAUGCUUCCUGUACAAUGAUAUUUAAUAGCAGCAAACUAAACAGGUUGGUUAGGAAACUGAAGCUGCAGCUACUGAAGAGCCAAAGAACAUUCUUGUUGAACAGGCUAAAGGCAAGAGGUAAAGACUCAUAGUCUGUUACAUCCAACCAGUUCAACGUACGAUAUGGCGUGCCGCCUCUUGUUCUUCCUUUACCUUGUCUUAUUUGACAACCAAAGCAUCCUUCUCUGUGGCUCUCAAAAUUGCUUUCUUCUUCACACGAUGCAUGUUAUGCCAUUUGAUCAAACUACUUUUCUGCCACAACUAUAUUCAAAUGGAUCAUAGGCCCAAUAAAACAUCAUUUUACUUCAAAAUCUAAUAUACGUUUUAUUUAUUUUCCUGUUGCAUGUACAGGCAACUCUUCCUGUUGCAUCAAAAGUAACUUGCUUCGUACAUGCAAACUAAUUAGCCAUAUAGUUAAAUUAGCUACGUAUUAAGAUUCGAUACAUCUACUGCUUAUUUAUGUUGUGUUCUAUUUGCUGUGUCCAAUCUUUAUGCGCUUGUUAUUUUUAUCACACUGUAAUCAAGCUUCUAUUGUUAUAGCAAUACGAAAUCCUAUGCAUCAAGCUUCUGUUCUUAUAGCAAUUACAGUUUUGAUACCUCUGUUUCUUUAUAUCAUCUUGUUGGGUUUCUGUUUCUCUUCAUAUAGGAUACAGAUAUAUGUGAUACUCAUGUGGUCCUUUCGCUGGAAACUUGCUAAUCUUAGGGGUGCUGCUACUGGUGUAAAAACCAUCUUAUCAAAAGAACUAAAGUACUCCCUCCGUUCCAAAAUAGAUGAACCAACUUUGUACUAGAGUUAGUACAAAAUUGGUUCAUCUAUUUUGGAAUGGAGGGAGUAGUAGCUAAUCCAAGCAUUGAAGAAUUGAUGCAGAGGUUACGCUAUAUUGGAAGUCAGAGCAGCGCGUGAAGACUACAUAAGAUAGUUUCUGGUGACCUUCAGUCUAUAUGUCCUAACCAACAACAGCCACCUUUUAUUUUGUAUCAAUCGAUCCAGUAUCUUUCCCCUUUUGGCGUUGCUCUGAGCAAGAUAUGUAUAGCCUUUAGAUUUCCAUUCGUGUAUGAUACUACAUGUACACUUUAGACCUCAUUACUGUCUCUGUGGUCAAAAGAAGUUUGUGAUCACUUGUUCUAUAUAUGUAAUCAACUGCCCUUCUACUAAUAUUUUCAGACGACUAUUUAUGUAUGUUUACACUGGUUAGAGAAAAUCAUCACACUGCCAGCAGCAGUUUUUUAUUUCCAUAUGUUUCAAUAAGAUCUUCCG
rnacentral:lncRNA from 1 species